rnacentral:rRNA from 1 species
GCCUACGGGACGCAGCAGUGAGGAAUAUUGGUCAAUGGCCGGAAGGCUGAACCAGCCAAGCCGCGUGAGGGAGGAAGGCGCAGAGCGUCGCAGACCUCUUUUGCCGGGGGACAAAAGGCCGGACUCGUCCGGUCCUGAGGGUACCCAGAGAAAAAGCAUCGGCUAACUCCGUGCCAGCAGCCGCGGUAAUACGGAGGAUGCGAGCGUUAUCCGGAUUUAUUGGGUUUAAAGGGUGCGUAGGCGGUCCGUUAAGUCAGCGGUAAAAUUGCGGGGCUCAACCCCGUCGAGCCGUUGAAACUGGCAGG